CCUGACCUCAGGUGAUCUGCCCACCUUGGCCUCCCAAAGUGCUGGGAUUACAGGUGUGAGCCACCACACCCUGCCGACAUUUGGAAUUUAUAAGGAAAGGUAUAAGAAUUCUUCUAGGCCAGCAAGUGACAGAACUGCGUGUCCCAGCCUGUGCAGCCCCUGGAGUGCAUGUUGUAGAACUAUCAACUCUAGAGUCCUUCCAGUUGUCAAGGUGGGUGUUGUGGGUAAAACACAUUCCUUCCACCUGAAGAACAGAGUAGCCCUGUCCUCUUGGCACCUGGUUCCUGAGAGGGUGCAGAAGCUGCUGACAACACUGCCUAGUGGUGCUGUGGGGAAGAUGGCAGGCAGCUGGGUGGGACUCGAAAGCCUCUCCAGGGGGCCGAGCCCUGUGCAGGGUCUGCAUGAGCUGCCAUGGCCAGGGUGGGGCUGGCAGGAGCUGAGCUGGGCCUCCGAGGGAAUUGGGGGGCUUGUAGCCAGGGGCAUCUGGAGUAGGAGCCCACGGCAGUGCUGAGGUACAGGGCACUGGAGUGGGGAGAUGUGGCUGAGUUAGCCUCUGUGUUGGAGGCGGGACUGGUGGGUGUUGUGGGGGGGCACUCUCGGCCUGCCCCGGGUUUCCCUGUGGGUGGUGAUGCUGCCUACUGAGCCACUGGUGCCUGUAGGAGAGCUGUCUUUAGGAGGCUUCCAGGAGCUGCCACUGGAGCAGCCACGUUACCAGGGAGCCUGAGGCCCCACAGAGGCAUCUGAGGUGUCAGAUUUGGGUCCUGCUCUCCUCGGAAGCUGGGAGUACUGGAAGGUAAGGGCUUUCUGGGGGCAGAGUGAACCUGUCCAGGCCACUGCGUGAACAUCAGUAAGCCCACCACGUCAUCUCGGGACCCCGUGCGCUGGAUUUCAUGGUAACAAGUAACCCCCUCAUGACCAGCUUUUGUACAUUCCUUUUGAUUUGUCCGGGGUCUUGAGUGGCACCUCUUUACCCUGUGAGAUACCCAGAGAUCUCUGUAAAUGCUGUGCCCAGCAUGCCUCGGCCCGGGCAUGAGCUGUACGCAGGGGAGGUGGCGACAUUUGUAAUCCAGAUAUGGUUUCAUUGUGACUGGGUCACCUGUGAUGCCCUAAGCCUUGAGAACUUGUCAUGUGUGUGUCAUUAUCCUCUUGCUGUCUAACUUGUGAGAUUCUUGCCAAGCCUUAGGUGACUCUGACUACCUUUGGUCCAAGAUAAUUGCCUAGAAUGGAUGGUGGCUCCUGUUAAACACACACACAUCCUAGACACCACGCCGGGGGCUAUGCCUGUUGUUUAAGAAUGGCCCCAAAAUAUGUUGCCUGCACUGUGUCUCCAGGGCCUGUGUGGGAGGGGUAGCUUGGGAGGGCCGGGUCCCGCUAGCCCUGGGUUGCAAGGGUAAACUGCCUGGUGUCAUUCAUGGUGAGAUUUACUUACCCCAUGACUUGAUCCUAGAGAAGGACCAGCUAAGGACUUCAGAGGUCUUGGAGUGAGUUCCAGGCAAGGGCAAGAAACCAAGGCUUUUCAUGGGUUCUUAGGUAAAGGAAGGGGGUGUGGACCAGUCGCACUGGGAGGUCGAGUCCUGUCUCCUAGGAAGCCACGUGGCUGUGGGGUGAGCUUACCCAGGGUUCCUUCCUGCCAGUGUGGAUAUGGCGCCCUCUGCCCAGGCCUCUUGAGAUGGAACGCUUGGAGCUCGGCCAAUGCUCAGGUCGUCAUAGGUGCUGUGGGGUCACUCACACUUGGUUGAGGGGUAUGUGACUCGAGGAAGAUUCCUGUCAUUCCUGCUUGUAUUUCAUCAAGUCCUGAGCGAGGUUUGUGAGAAUGGGUGCAGGUGGCUGUGACCGAAUCCAGGUCUCCUCAACAGACAGGAGACCUCCGCACAUCCUGCCAUGUCACUGUUGGAAUUUUCAAAUUGGGAGGAAUCUUAAGAAUCAGCUAGAGCAGCUCAGCCCCAAAAAUGAGAAACUGAAGUCCUGUGAUAGGAAGGGCUUCUAAAGGUCACGUGGCACAUCCGCCAGGCCCCCGAGAGCACGCUGGGCCUGGCUCCCACGCCGCUGCUCUUUGCAAAGGCCUGCGGCCCCUUUUUGUUGUCUGACGACAUGUAGAGAAAUUGCUGUGAGUUUACGCAGAACACUGGUGCUUACGCUAUAAUUGAGUCUCACCAGGUUCUGAAGAUGCAUCUUGUGCCCGUGGCUCACGUCUGUGGGAGCCUUUCAGGGACAUAGCGGCAUCACCAGCCUGGCCCUGUGUGUUGAAAUGGUUAUGGUGGAACUACGUGGGCUCGUGAAACGUGGGAGGCUUCCAGUUGGACUUUCUGUGGCCAAUAUUGAUAGGAUCCUGCCAGCGGAGAGCCCGGGCCUAGGGCCAAACGGCUGGAGUUAGGAGCUGGGGUGCGCAGAGCCCUGGAAGGGUUUGGCAGGGCAGGGGAGAAGGGAGUAACAGUCUGACUCUGUGCUUCAGGCUUUUUCUUGCUGGUUCAAGUGUCCACUGAAAGCAGCUAACAUAAUCAGUACAGCUUCUCUGUUUUGGGAAAUCAAACCCCAGAUCUUUAAUUUGAUUUAAAAAGCUUUCCAGGAUCUUACCUUUGCCUCCCUUUUCAAUCUUGCCGCUCGGCAGUUAUUUCUGCUAGAAAAUAGGUGUUUCCCUCUCAGUGUCUCCAAAUGUGAAAGAAAAAUCAUCGUCAUCAAUAGUUGGGUAUAAGAGAGGCAGCCUUCUCCAGAAGGGGAGCAGUGAGCAGGCAGUUCACAGAGCAAAAGGGAGGGUGGAUCUCCGUGGACCGUCACUGGCUUCAAGUCUCGCUUCUGCUGCUUCCUGGCUGUGUGUCCCUGGGCAUGUCACUCAACUCCUGUGCUCCAGUUUCCUCAGCCUGGCAAUGGGCCAUUGUACAGACAAAACGAGUAAACGCACAUAAAGCACCUGGAGCCGUGCCAGGCCCGAUGUGAGCAUUUGGGCCGCAUCGACUCAUGUGAUUAGACCUGGUAGACCCGGCGCAGGGAACCAAGCCUGUCAAUUUAAAGGGGAGUGGCAGGAAGAACUCAUUUUUAAUGACAGGCAAAAAGGGAAAAUAUUGUAAUACAUGGCUUCCUAUUUUCCUUUUCCCUUUUUCUUGCCUUUGAAUUUAUAAUGUUGCUUAUUUGGUAUUUAAGAUUCUUGCUCUGGAGCUUCGAACAUUUUGAAAGAAAAAGUAGUGUCAUUUAAUAAAUGCUGUCAUUUGACGUUCUGGUUACUAUUUUAGGGCAGCAUGGUAGGUAGAUACUGCUAGUUACCUACCCAAUAUCCAUUUUCCUUUAUUACUUGCAGGAUUGCCAGGUUUAGAAAAUGAAAACGCAAAACUCCAAGUUAAAUUUGAAUUUAAGUAGACAAUGAAUACUUUUUUGGUGGAUGUUCCAAAUAUUGCAUGGGCAAUUUAACUGGGUGUCCUGUAUUUUAUCUGGCUCAACUUUGUUUAGACAGCAGGGUGCACAGCUGAAAAGAUAACUUGUAUAACAUCCUUGCAGCUAGGGGUGGUUGCAACAGAGUGCUUUCCUUUGGAAUGAAACUUUUCUGGGAUAAAGUACUUUGCUUCCCUCCUUGGAUUCUGGCUGGAAUUCGAGUGCAAUGCCUGGUGACACAGCAGCCAUGUUGUAAUCAUGAAGCGGCUAGCUGUGUAGUAAGGCUGACAGAGCAGGAAGCUGGAAAGGACCCAGAGUCGUGAGGCUUUGGGCCUUCUUUAUAUGUUCAUAUAUAACAUUUGCAUGAAGAAGACACCCGCAUCUGUUUAUGCCACUGAUAUUCAGGGCUCUCAGCUGAAUACAGUUUUAACUGAUAUAUACAGGAAACACAUAUUUCAAACAAAAUCUCAUGUGAAACUCCGUAUGGGUGGUUCUGGUUAAAGCAGUCUGGUAGGGAGGAAAAAGGGGGGGACAUCGCUUCAUUGCUUGAAUUUCUGCUCCACUCCCUUUCCCUUCUCCCGGAUUUUGGGGGAUGCCCUGUGGAACCCCUCACUUUCCAUGGAACACAUCUUUAAGCCAGGAAACCACCCAUUCUUUCCCACUCUUAUUCUCAUUUUUAUUUUCUCAACUCUUUUGGGCAGGGGUUGAGGAGGGUGUCCUGCGGUUUGCAUAGAUGCCUGCUGGACUGAUCAGAGCCCUGGAUCCCAUACCUGGAGUCGGGAACUUCCCCCAGAGCCCCGCAACUCCCACCCAGGUUGCUGUGCACGGCGGAAUGGGCCCGUCAGGAAACAGGAAGGGAGCCUGCUCCGCUCAGGUCAUUUGUCCUAAUCCAGCUAAGGCACAGGCUGGAGAUCUCAGGGGAGUCCCUUCCCUGCGCCCUUAGGAAUGCUGGCCCCACCUGGGUGCUGGUUUCACCACUUUGUUACCAAAGUCUUUGUCACAGACAGGUAUCGGGUGAGCUUACAGCUCAGCCUGCAGACAUAGCCCCAGGGCAGCAUGGCUGGACUGGCUGUGCACAGAUGCCUCCUGUGGGCUGCGGCUCCCCUGCGGGUGGAAGUCUUGGCCCCUGGACCUGGCAUUCGAGGUCUUCCAAGACAUUCUGCCCUCGGAAUGCUUGCCUCCCUAUUGAUCUGUCCUGAGUGGCUUGUUAUUAUUUUUUAACAGUCAGUCAUGUAUCGGUAGUUAUGUAAAAUGUGGCAAAAAUGAAUGGCUGAAGAAAAAUGAAAUGGAAAAAGAAAAAAUCUGAAAAUAUACAAAAUAAAAACCCACACUGUUUUGCUAUUGGAUUCAACAGACCUGAAACUAUCCUUGCAGGAGCCCCUCGGUGCCCACCCGUAGGCCACACUCACCAGCUGCACCCGGGGCUGUGCUUCCAGGACCCAAAAGCUCCCUCCCUGAGCCGCACCCAGGCCUGCUCCCACUCACCUCACCAGCCGCACCCGUUCCUCCCACGGCCCGCCCAGGGGACCAUUGAUCCUUUAGUCCUCUUCGGCCAGUGUACCCCCAAUGGCCCAGGACGGCCCCUAGUACACAAUGGCUGUUUCUUGUGGGCAACGCGUGGAGGCACACAUCAGGGCCCUGCUUUUAAGCAGGAAGUGCUGAGACCUGGGUGCCACCUCUUCCAGGAGCCAUGGAUGCCGGGGCUCACCUCCAGAGAUUCUGAAUUAAAUGGUCAGGAGGGAGCCUGCACACCGGAGAGCUCUGAGCACCAGGCGAGUCUCCCGUGUAGCCAGGUUGGGAGCCAUCGCUGUUCACGUGGCCAGGGCUGCCUUGCCAGAGGAGCUCAUCUUCCUUUGCCACUGUGUAACUGUUCGUGUUUAUCAAGUCAUGACCUCCCUUGCUACAGUCACUCUUGUCUUUCGUGCUCUAUUUAAUUUUUUUAAAUGCUGGUGGCCUCACGAAGUUUUUUUCACCACCACUCAUGGACAGGACCUGUCCCGUGAGACAUGCACCAAAGCACGGAUAGGGAUGGCCACGAUCCUGCCUGGAACGGGACUUCAGAACUGGGCAGAGCAUGGCUCCUUCUGGUGGGGGCCCCAGAACUCUUUUUCAAAGGCAGUGGCAGGACGGGAUCCACAGUGCUUGACCCUUUGAUAAGGAGACAUCCUCUGGCCAAAGGUGACACCACAGGGAUUAGGUCCACGUGCUGCUUAACACUGUUUUGGGUGCAGAACAAAGGGCGGCUGGGACAUUUCUUGUCUGGUCUCCCCCUCUAUGUGUCCUGAAUUUCUAGCUUGUUCAAAGUGGUCAAAGACCCAACGCUCGUCUGGCACAGAAGGGGUCGUGCCUACAUGUAGGGAGGUGCUGAGGCUUCUGUCUCCCGUUGUAUGUCCCCAGGGACAGGACAGCCCCCUGCCUGUUGUUCCGAGUGUCCUCUAUGAAUGGGGACCGUCUGUCGUCCGGGUAACUCCCCUCCUUCACCUCUGUCCACCCGCUCUGGUAGCCACCCCUUCCUCUGCAUCCCAGAGAGCCUCGAGGACUCCCCUUUUCUCUUCUCUAGUGUUGGCUCCCAUAUCUGUCAGUUAAUGACCUAUUCAUUAUAUGAACAUGUUUCUCUUGGGUCAUUAUUUAACUUUUCAAAUUUAUCUUCUUUACUCAAUAAAUUGUGAGCAUGGAUGUCUGUUCCUCAUGGGAUCACCCCUGCCAGGCAUGUAGAAAUUGCUUGAUGUAGUUUCACUGGCUUGUGGACAGGCAGUCAUGCUUCUCUGUGCUUCUGUGAUUCUAUGCCAAAGAAAGUCAGUAGCAAGCAAAUAGCAGAGCUUUAGUGAAUAAGAACAAUAUUUUACCUUGAAAAAGGCAGCAGGAAAGAGAGUGAAGACUCAAGUUUCCUUUAUUAAGGAAAAUUGAAAUCUAGGUACCUACAGAUGCUCUUUGACUUAUGGUUAGGUCUCAGUAAACCCAUUGUAAGUCAGAAAUGCGUUUAAUACACCUAACCUACCAAAUGUCUAUCUUACCUGUGCUUAGAGCACUUAUAUUAGCAUACAGUCGGGCAAAAUCAUCUAACACAAGCCGAUUCUAUUAAUAUUAAAAUUGAUGUAAUAUAUGUACAUAUUUUAGUACAUGUGAUAGUUUAAUAUGUUCAUAUAAUGUAUACAGGUUAAAUCAGAGUAAUUGGGAGAUCCAUUGCCUUAAAUAUUUCUUUAUGCUAAAAACAUUGGAAUUAUUCUAUCUAUUUUGAAAUAUACAAUAGGCUGUUGUAAACUUUAGUGUCCCUACUGAUCUAGAACUACCAGGUGAUCCAGAAAUCUCACUAUUGGGCAUAUAUCCAAAAGAAAAAAUUAUUGAAGAGACAUCUGCACUCCAUGUUUAUUGCAGCACUAUUGACAAUAGCCAAGAUGUGGAAUCAACCUAAGCAGCCAUCAGUGGAUGAAUGGAUACAGAAAAUGUGGUAUGAAUACACAGUGGAAUACUCUUCAGCCAUUUGCAACACAGAUAGAACUGGAGGCCAUUAUGUUAAGUGAAACAAGCCAAGCAGAAAGGAAACAGAGCAGAUGAAAUGCACAGUGUGAAGGACAAGGAUUCUGCUGAGAGAAUUGCUGCAAGGGUUGCUCAGGUGAUCAUGAGAAGUAAUGCAUCAAACCAUUCUUUAGAUGCAGCUCAGGUGCGGCUUCUCCUCGCCUGUGCCCAUUCACCUGAGAUGGACCAUAACCGUGAAAGUCAGAAGACACUGACCCUUCAGAACAUGACAGGGUUAAAAGAUGCUGGAGGCAAAGAGUCUGCAGUUGAUUUUUAUUCACUUCCUUUCUCCACUCUGCCAUUUGGAAGAAGUUCCUGAGAUCAGCAGCAUUGGCUGUGACCUACCAUUUAGAAGUGGAAGUUCGGGGCACAUGUUUUGACUUUCUUUUUCAUAGUUUGAUGAUUUGAUUCGACAUCAGUACAUCCUGUACCCUAUGGCAGGGGUCCCCAAAGGCCAAGGACUGGUCUGGUAUGGUCCGUGGCCUGUUAGAACCUGGGCCACACAGCAGGAGGCGAGAGGUGAGUGAGAAAGCAAAGCUUCAUCCGUCUUUACAGCCACUCCCCAUUGCUCACAUUCCCACCUGAGCUCUGCCUCCUGUUAGAUCAGCAGCAGCAUUGGAUUCUCACAGGAGCUCGAACCCUG